rnacentral:rRNA from 1 species
GAUGAACGCUGGCGGCGUGCCUAAUGCAUGCAAGUAGAACGCUGAAGGAGGAGCUUGCUCUUCUGGAUGAGUUGCGAACGGGUGAGUAACGCGUAGGUAACCUGCCUGGUAGCGGGGGAUAACUUUGGGAAACGUUAGCUAUUACCGCAUGACACCAGUUAUUGCUUGAUAACUUUUUAAAAGGGGCACCUGCUCCCCUACCAGAUGGCCUUGCGUUGUAUUAGCUAGUUGGUGAGGUAACGGCUCACCAAGGCGACGAUACUUAGCCGACCUGAGAGGGUGAUCGGCCACACUGGGACUGAGACACGGCCCAGACUCCUACGGGAGGCAGCAGUAGGGAAUCUUCGGCAAUGGACGGAAGUCUGACCGAGCAACGCCGCGUGAGUGAAGAAGGUUUUCGGAUCGUAAAGCUCUGUUGUAAGAGAAGAACGAGUGUGAGAGUGGAAAGUUCACACUGUGACGGUAUCUUACCAGAAAGGGACGGCUAACUACGUG